rnacentral:rRNA from 1 species
UACGAAGGGGGCUAGCGUUGUUCGGAUUUACUGGGCGUAAAGCGCACGUAGGCGGAUCGUUAAGUCUGCUGUGAAAGCCCUGGGCUCAACCUGGGAACUGCAGUGGAUACUGGCGGACUAGAGUGUGAUAGAGGAUGGUGGAAUUCCCGGUGUAGCGGUGAAAUGCGUAGAGAUCGGGAGGAACACCAGUGGCGAAGGCGGCCUCUGGAUCAACACUGACGCUGAGGCACGAAAGCGUGGGGAGCAAACAGG